rnacentral:rRNA from 1 species
UACGUAGGGUGCAAGCGUUGUCCGGAAUUCUUGGGCGUAAAGAGCUCGUAGGCGGUUUGUCGCGUCUGCUGUGAAAUCCCAGGGCUUAACCCUGGGCCUGCAGUGGGUACGGGCAAACUAGAGUGCGGUAGGGGAGAUCGGAAUUCCUGGUGUAGCGGUGAAAUGCGCAGAUAUCAGGAGGAACACCGGUGGCGAAGGCGGAUCUCUGGGCCGUAACUGACGCUGAGGAGCGAAAGCAUGGGUAGCGAACAGG